UACGUAGGGUGCAAGCGUUGUCCGGAAUUAUUGGGCGUAAAGAGCUCGUAGGCGGUCUGUCGCGUCGGCUGUGAAAACCCGGGGCUCAACCCCGGGCCUGCAGUCGAUACGGGCAGACUAGAGUGCGGUAGGGGAGACUGGAAUUCCUGGUGUAGCGGUGAAAUGCGCAGAUAUCAGGAGGAACACCGGUGGCGAAGGCGGCAUCCUGGACCGGCAUUGACGCUGAUGAGCGAAAGCUAGGGGAGCAAACGGG
rnacentral:rRNA from 1 species